CGGUCUUCUUAAGUCUGAUGUGAAAUCCCCCGGCUCAACCGGGGAGCGUGCAUUCGAAACUGGCAAGCUAGAGUCGUUGUAGAGGAGAGUGGAAUUCCACGUGUAGCGGUGAAAUGCGUAGAGAUGUGGAGGAACACCAGUGGCGAAGGCGACUCUCUGGACUGUAACUGACGCUGAGGAGCGAAAGCGUGGGGAGCGAACAGGAUUAGAUACCCUGGUAGUCCACGCCGUAAACGAUGACUGCUUGGAGGUAGGGCGCUUCCGCCCCGUAUUGCUGAACCUAACGGAUUAAUCACUCCGCCGGGGAAGACCGGCCCCAAGACUGAACUUCAAUGGAAUUGACGGGGGCCCGCCCAACCGGGGAACCUGGGGGUUUAUUUCAAGCCAACCCAAAAAACCU
rnacentral:rRNA from 1 species